UUAAAAAUGCGGCCACUUUGCCUGUCCAACUGCUGAGUGAUAAGGGCAUGACCUAAAACUUGAUGCUCACAGAG
rnacentral:snoRNA from 1 species